ensembl:misc_RNA Metazoa_SRP Metazoan signal recognition particle RNA
GCUGGGCGUGGUGGCACAUGCCUGUAAUCCCAGCUACUCAGGAGGCUGAGGCAGGAGAAUUGCUUGAACCUGGGAGGUGGAGGUUGCAGUGAGCCAAGAUGGCACCACUGCACUCCAGCCUGGGUGACAGAGCAAGACUCUGUCUCAA